GUGCUCUCUUCAACAGCACAUAUACUAAAAUUGAAACAAUACCUAGAAGUUCAUGACCCCCGUGUAAGUAUGAUAUGAAUAUCCAUGAAGCAUUCAUAUUUUAG
rnacentral:snRNA from 1 species